rnacentral:misc_RNA from 1 species
CAAAAAUGGAAAUCGGACAGAGUCAGUGAAGUUUCAACUCUUCUGGAAACAAAUCUGCAUGUGUUCACUUACAGGGAACUUGAGGUUGCAACCAAUAACUUCAAAGAACAAGUCGGCAGAGGUUCUUCUGCAAUCGUCUNAAGGCAUCCUAAAAUUUGCUCCAAAUAAUGCAGUCGCGGUGAAGAAGUUGGAUAAGUUGUCCCAAGAGGCUGACAAGGAAUUCAGAAAUGAAUUGAAAGCAAUUGGGAAGACACGCCACAAGAAUCUUGUCCGGCUGCUGGGAUUCUGUGAAGAGGGAGCUCAUCGCCUUCUGGUUUACGAGUUUAUGACUAAUGGUACAUUAGCAAAUUUUCUUCUUGGGAUUCCAAAGCCUGGCU